UACAGAGGUCUCAAGCGUUGUUCGGAUUCAUUGGGCGUAAAGGGUGCGUAGGUGGCGCCGUAAGUCGGGUGUGAAAUUUCGGAGCUUAACUCCGAAACUGCAUUCGAUACUGCGGUGCUUGAGUACGGGAGAGGCGAGUGGAAUUCCUGGUGUAGCGGUGAAAUGCGCAGAUAUCAGGAGGAACACCGAUUGCGAAGGCAGCUCGCUGGAACGUUACUGACGCUGAGACGCGAAAGCGUGGGGAGCAAACAGG
rnacentral:rRNA from 1 species